GAUGAACGCUGGCGGCGUGCCUAAUACAUGCAAGUCGAGCGAACAGACGAGGAGCUUGCUCCUCUGACGUUAGCGGCGGACGGGUGAGUAACACGUGGAUAACCUACCUAUAAGACUGGGAUAACUUCGGGAAACCGGAGCUAAUACCGGAUAAUAUAUUGAACCGCAUGGUUCAAUAGUGAAAGACGGUUUUGCUGUCACUUAUAGAUGGAUCCGCGCCGCAUUAGCUAGUUGGUAAGGUAACGGCUUACCAAGGCAACGAUGCGUAGCCGACCUGAGAGGGUGCACGGCCACCCUGAACCUGAGGACCGGUCCAAACUCGCAGGGGAGGCCGAGGUUGGGAACUUGCCCGAAGGGGCAAAAGCCUGCCGGGGCAACCCCCGGGGAGGUAUGGAGGUCUCCGGACUGUAAAGCUCUGUUAUUAGGGAAGAACAAAUGUGUAAGUACCUUUCACCCUCUGGCGUGUACCUAAGCAGAAAGCCCCGGCAACCUACGG
rnacentral:rRNA from 1 species